rnacentral:lncRNA from 1 species
AAUCCAGAGACGGAUUGCUGAGAUGAUUCCUGCUUUCCGGCUCCCCGACACCCGCUGUUCUUUAGAUCCGCUCAGCGGCGCUUUUUCCUGUGCCACGUGCCCAGAUCUGAGCGAGGCUUGGGAAGACGCGAACGGGCUGUAAAAUCUGUCCCCAGAACUGGAGAGCACUUUGGCAAAGGAGUGUGAGUUUUGGGGAAGCUCAAGGAAGAGGUACCAGGUAGAGAGAGGGCCAGGGCUGAGUUCACGGGCUCUUUCUAAAUGGAAAUGUCUCACAUUCAGCUGUUGUCUGCCUUUGAGUCACACAGAACCACUUGCAGGAAGAACUCUAGAGAAUUUGGGAAGAAAGGGGGAGAGGACAGACAAAAGAUGCAUUUUUCUUUCAAGAAGCAGGAAAAUCGAAAUCGCAGCAGAGGAGAUGGAGCAGCUUCGUGCGCAUUGCUCAUUUGCGCCAACGUGAAAAGAACUGCCAGGAUGCCCAGGACACCAGCUCCCUGGCUUCUGCGGUGCUUGCACAGUCCUGAAUCAGCCCGAGAGCUGUGGAUCUGCGUCCCCUGGCUGCAUAGCCGACUGCCGGCUCCAUGGAGGGGCCUGUGCCGGAGAACGCACAUGUUGACUUAUUUCUUCAGUCUAGGCCUUUCUUGGCCCCCUUGGUUAUUCAUUCUAGAUGAUACAACUCUUAUUUCAGUUCAAAUGUCUCACGGAAGAGGCAUUGAAGACAGAGUGGAUGCCCGUGUUUGUUGGCAGUAGGUAGUAUUUACCACUCCGGUUGUAGUAAAAGAACAAAAGGAGAAAUUACACCUAUUUCUCAUAUUUAAGGGAAAAGCAAUUAAAUCACCAAAGUCAGAUUCUCGAGUAAUUGCUGGGCCCUUGGAGGGGCGGGCAAGGUGAGGUGUGAGGCCCCAGAUCUCUGUCUUGUGUGGGGCUGACACUGCCUGCUGGGGACUCCAAGCAGAGGCGGGGCCAGGGAAGGCAGCAUGCAGGGGGAAACCGAGAGCCUCUUGCCAGCCUCCCCUCCCAGCUGCU